UAUGAACUUUAAGGGAAGGGAGGACACAGCCAUCUCUUCCCUCUUUCCCUUCCCUCCAAGUUACAGGAAGGAGGGGGUGUGAAUCUGAGAGUGUUUGUAAUUUAAGCUCUGGCAUAAUGCCUAGUACGGCACUCUACGCUGUGUUCAAUAAAUAGAUACUGUCAUCUGACAUCCCUAUUGUAGAGCAGCAUUUGUUUCUUCAGCCAAAUUCACGUAUCUGCAUAGUUCCAUUGUUCUUCGGGGCUCUCUCCUCCUUAAAAUGAUGGAUUGCCAAGUAAUAAAAAUGCUUUCACCUUUAUCUCCACCUAUCUCACCCCCUUUACCUCUUUUAUUGCCAGGCUCCAUGUCACAUGAUCCGUGUGCCCAUCUCUCACUGGCUUCCUGGUCCCCAGCAGCUCAGAGCCCUUCUGGUUUUAAAAUAUCGGCAAGCCUUGCAUAAUAACCAUUGAGGUUUGUCCAUUAAAGGAGAUGUGGGUUGUGUUUUAAUUGUUCAGGAAAAACAGCAUUCUGACCGGCAUAAGGCAGGAAAGUCUCCCCUGAGCAAAGGUUUUCCAGCUGGGAAAAAUUAGAAGGCAAACUCAGCAACAAAAUCAGGAAGCCUGGCAGAGGGUUAUCAUCUUCUUUGCCUCACCCCGAGUUUCAUUUCCAAAGACAGAGUACUAAGAUUGAAAGGGGUCAUUUAUUCUUUAAAAACACCUAGAAAAUGAAUGGUUGGGGCAAAUAACAUUUUUAUCACAAAAGAAGGAGGUGCAUGAUUUCUCUCAUCUCUCCAUGUACCAUCUAUUAUUGUGGCGCUUUCCAUGACCCUCAGUUCCCUCCGUCUACAAAUCAGAACCUGAAAACAUGCAGGAAAAGGCACGAGUAAUGUUUGUCUUCUCUGCAUAAUUGCAAAGUGGUGUGAAUGUUCUUCAUGAUAGAACCAGAAAGAUAUUAACGCAUAAAAUUCUUUGAAGCACUUGGCACUCAGGAUCAAGUUUAAUCGAUGAGAUGUGACCUGUACAAAUUCCAUUUUCACAGGGCGCCUAUGAAGUUUAGGACUGCUCCAUUAGAAAUCCGAGUCCACGAUUUUGUCAUUUUCCCCUGCAUUUUAUAACAGUGACAACAUAUAUGUCAUUCAGGUUUAUGGUUGGUUAACAUUAACUUUGUUCUUUUGGCUUUUUGGCUAAAUUAUAAGUCAAUGGAGUUACUACCAGACAGUUUGAGUAAUAGCACAAUUGCCUUCACAAUCAGUUUUUGAACCAUAAAAAACUAAGUAGAUUUCCACCCACAGCCCCAGAGAGUCACGAGUUCCUACCGGGGGGGGCGGGGGGAGUGGGUGCAGAGGGUAGAAAUGGCCCUAAAACAAGACCUAAGAGAUCAGGGUUCUAGAGCCUGACUGCCCUUUGGAUAUUGUUUGAAUAUUGUUACUUCAUGAGUAGGAAUGUAAGGACACCCUGGAUUGGCUUAGCAGCACCCCACCUGUGGACUUCAGCAACCUUUAACAAAAUCAUUCAUAAGGAAGCAUGAAUUAAGCCCAUUGCCUCCCCAUUUCCCCCUCCUCCUUCCUCCUCUUUAAAUUUAAACUGAAUGUGAUUAAGCAGCCAUUCCUCCAUGCUUAUAAUGCUCACACUCCUUUAUUUUAGCUGUGAUUCGACAUCAAUAUAUGAUAACUUGGUUGCCUUACAUACCAAAGUAUUGAAGCCUAUAGUUGGAAAGCCUGAGAAUGUAAAAUGUUCUAAAGUUAAUGGGUUAGAAUAUUUUGGCAGCAAUAUUUAGUAAUACAAUAUGCAAAUUUUUAUUUCCUACACCAAUAAGAAGGACUUUCAACUUUCAGUAAAAAGCAAGGUUAUAGAUGAGCUUGCAGAAUAUAGCAGCCCAUGAAGAAAACAAGAUAAACAAGUUACGGAAAUUUCUUUAAAAAUGUACUCCAUAAUUUACUUUCACAAAAUAAGAUUUGAACUUUUUCCCUUCACGGAUAUUUUACUAGAAAUAUGAAUUGUGAGGCUUUUAUUCCUUAAAAAUUUAUCUAAAGACUCUCCAGCAUCACUUAGAAAGAAAAGCCACAAAUAUCCAUUCUGUAUGGGGUGCGUUUCAUUUUUACAUAUCUUGCCUUUAUUUUUAAAUGGAACGAGAGGAAAGAAUGAAAUCCUUCAUUUUGCAAAUCCCAAAUCAAUUCUUAAUUUAUAAAAAGCCAACUCAAAAACCUACUCAAAGCUUUUAUCCCAUCCCAAAAGAAGCAGCCAGGUGGCUAACAAUACAUUGUUAUUGCAGUUUUCUCUGACGAAGUGUUCUAAGUGAGCUAAGCGGCUAUCUGUGUGACUUUCUUUUGAGAGCUUCAGUAAACACACAUUUUUCACCAUGAACUGAAUUACAUUUGAAGGGAUGAAGAUGCAGGCCAGUUAUUUCAGAGUCCUGAGUGUCGGAGCUGGACCAGCUGAAGGAGGAAGCAUUGCUACUUCCUCCAGCUCCAUCAGCCCCUCUCUCUCCCUCUGUCCAAGCACACAGCACCCUGGAGCCCAGCUGUCCUUAUUCUACCACUAGGAGAGCUCCUUGAGAAGAGGAAUAUCUUAUUUCUUUUGUUUUCCUGACUUCCAACUUGUCUUUUCAGGCAUGUUCAAUAUAUUGUAUGUGAAAAAAUAACUCCUAGCCCAUUCCCGUCUUGUUACAGACAAUGAUAGAGAAACCAACCAAAGGACAAUGACUUGUGUUAGGUCAUACGGUUGCUUUGAAUCAGGGCAGGGCAAAAACUCAGAUCCUUUUUGUUUCACGCUGUGAAAAACUCAGCCAGCGAGUCAAACACAUGUGCCGGAGUAUAGACAAUGGGUUGAAUGCAGUUUGUGGUUUGCAAUGACUGACAUAUGUCUGUUUAUGAAGACGUUGCUCCACGUCUUAUGAAAGUGAUGAAUUAUUACCCUAGUCCAUGGAGACGUCUGGCACGAACGUCCAGUGAUUCAGAGCAUAGUAGACUCGAAGUCCAGGUCAGACACCAGCUGUGUGGCCUUGCUAAAUUCCUUAGUUGAAUCCUCAGCUCCUCCUCUGUGGUAUGAACAAAAGCGUAGCUAUCUCUUAGGAGUUAUAAGGACCAGACAAAAUAAUACAUGCAGAGCCUAGAGCUCAGGGCCUGCCGCCUAGUUAUCAACAUGGCAAUAAUUUAAACUGCUUUGUGGGGAUUUGUUAAGCCAUCACGUGAAUGAAUGAAUGAGAAAAACAGAUCCCAUUGAAAUAUAUAUUUAAAAUAUGAAUACAUAGGAACAGAUACUUCUAAACAUACUGUUUAAUAGGCACAUAUAUUUAUUUAUAUUUUUCAAUAUUUACAUAUGUAAAAAAUUCUGGAAAGUAAAACUAUUAAGAUGAUUGUAUCUGGCUACUGGCAUAUUUUUUAUCUGUAUCUGUAUACACUUUCCUCAAUACACACAAAUAAUGCGUGAAAUAAAUUUAACAUAUUUUUAAACAUAAAUAUUGGCUUUUAUCAGUCUGUUUUAAAAUCUCAUUUAUUGGGGGUAAAUUCUAAAAUCACUUUUAUUUGUGAGCAGCUGCUAAUGCCAAAGUUAUUGGAAUUUUCCCAAAAAAUGUUGCUGGGAUUUUUAAUUUUUAAUUAAUUAAUGCUUGCAGUUAUUUAUUUGAUUUAGCAUAUACCACAUGCCGGGUACUGUUCCAACUGCUCUAUAAAUAUCAACUCAGUUGAGAAAGAACAAUUAACACCUUAUCUGAAGAGAGAAAUAGCUAAGUAUGGAGAUUAAAAAAAAAAAAUCUGGAAUAAAAUUUCUUAAAAGUUAGUCUAACUUCUGUCCUUUACGACCAGACUAAUGAGAAUCACAGGACACGAAAGUCAUAUCACUUGCUUUACUCAUAUAUACAUAAUAGCCACUAAAAUGAUCUGGCUUAAGAAUAUCCUGAAAAGAAAUUACUAAUUAUUUUCCAAAUAAUUUGGACAUGGUUUUAUAUGACAUAAUUUUAUAAGGAAAUCAUCAAAACUACAUAAACCACGUUAACAAUCCCCUACGGUAUAUUAUUUUCUCUCUAAUCAAAUCUACCAGUGGCCGUACUCCAGGUGGGUGAAAUUCCAGUACAAAAUUACAAAUGUGAUGAUAAGGUUAAGAAGUAGUUCUCAUUAUCUCCCCAUCAUCCUUUGCACAGGUCCCCACGAAGCCAGCAGGCAGGACUCAGUAGCUGUGGAGGUCACAGAGGGGGCACAGCAGUGGGUAAGACUCAAGCUGUAGUCAAUAUGAUAUACCUCUGGAAUCAGUAUAAUCACCCUGAAUAACACAGGAACAUCAUGGUAAUAUAUGAGGGGCUAUCAUUUUUCCUUGCUGUUCCUUAUGUAGCUGUGAUGACCAUAACUCAACAACAAAUUUGUCACAGAAGCUUCCAAAGGGGUGGGGGAAUCAGCUUGCCUACGUCUGUACCGGGAAAAAAACAUAGGUUUUUUUUUUUUCUAAUAUAAAUCCCAAUAGAUUAUUAACCAUAUUGUUUCAUGGGUAGCCAUGGCUAUUCUUAAAUAGCGGUGCUCCAAAGGCACCAGACCUGCCGCCAUGGACAUCUGAAUGGAGAGCCACGAGAGGAGUCUGAAACCUCUCAGGAACAGGAAGAAUCACCACUCAUCCUCCUGAACUGGAUGCUGCUAAAAAGUCAUUGCAAAAGUCAGUGGCCAAAGCCCAACCUGGAGAGAGUAAUUGUUUUCCAACCUGCCCUAAUGUUCAUUUAGCAGUAGAAGGUGUGCUCGUGUUCAAAGCUUUAAACUAUCAGCAUUUUGAUUAAUGAAACUGUAGAGCCAGUCUUCCUAAUGCUCCCUCUCUGACUUACCUGGGCUGACUGCAGGAGCAGUCGUGUGUGUGUGAGUGGUAGCUAAUGGCUGCACUGGUGAUUAUCUCCACAGUGAGCAAGAAGAGAGCAGAGAAUUAUUAAACCAUCUCCUUUGGGAGGUAAAACAAAGGAGCUUUUCCAACUCCAUAGGAAAAAGCAGAAAUUCUUAGAAAGUUUUCUUUAGAAAUAUGUAUUACACAGAGUUCCCAUCGUGGCUCGGCAGAAAUGAAUCCAACUAGUAUCCAUGAGGAUGCAGGUUCGAUCCCUGGCCUCACUCAGUGGGUUAAGGAUCCAGUGUUGCUGUGAGCUGUGGAGGAGGCUGCAGAUGCGGAUUGGAUCUGGUGUUGCUGUGGCUCUGGCAUAGGCCGGCAGCUGUAACUCCAAUUUGACUCCUAGCCUGGGAAUUUCCA
rnacentral:lncRNA from 1 species